rnacentral:rRNA from 1 species
GGCGAACGCUGGCGGCGUGCUUAACACAUGCAAGUCGAGCGGUAAGGCCCUUUCGGGGGGUACACGAGCGGCGAACGGGUGAGUAACACGUGGGUGACCUGCCCUCAGCUCUGGGAUAAGCCUGGGAAACCGGGUCUAAUACUGGAUAUGACUCCAUGACGCAUGUUGUGGGGUGGAAAGCCUUGUGCGGCUGAGGAUGGGCCCGCGGCCUAUCAGCUUGUUGGUGGGGUGANGGCCUACCAAGGCGACGACGGGUAGCCGGCCUGAGAGGGCGACCGGCCACACUGGGACUGAGACACGGCCCAGACUCCUACGGGAGGCAGCAGUGGGGAAUCUUGCGCAAUGGGCGAAAGCCUGACGCAGCGACGCCGCGUGAGGGAUGACGGCCU